GCCGGUUCCUCCGGUGGCUGGGUCGUCUUCUCCGGUGAGGGUUCUGGCGGCUAGGGUUUUGGGAUUGGGUGUGGAUGCGAUUAUUUAUAACCCUCCCCUUUUAAUCUGAGCCGUCCAUCAUGAUUUAAUCUAGGCCGUCCGAUCGCGAUUAAAUUAAAAAUAAAUUUGGGCCGUCCAUCACAAUGCGAUCUAGGCCAUCCAUAUGUGA
rnacentral:lncRNA from 1 species